ensembl:lncRNA
CAAAAGAAAGUCUUUCCUUCUCCAAUUGUGUCUGAAGAUCCAGAUUUGUCUGCUCAAAACGGCCUAAUGCAGUGUUCUGUUACUUUUCCGGCAUGCGCCGUAACUCGUGCUCAAUCGCAGAAGUUUGAAAAUGUGAUCGACCUCUCUGAUUCCUUUCUGUCUUCCCCCCCCCCCCAGACUGUAGAGAGUGAGCUCUAUAUCAGUCCUGUUUCGUCGGAAUCAAGUGGCAGGAGUAGUGAAGGUAAACUCCCUUUAAAAUUGAAUAGAACCCAGUUAGCUACUGAACAACGUUCUGAUCCGUCACUUGCUACAUGUAUUGGUGGUAUAGUGGACAAGGCUUUGAUCCCUCAGAUAACAGUGGGUUAUUUUUGGGAUGAUGAUAUUCUCAUGCGUUGGAGACCACAUGCCACAGAUGCAGAAUUUUUGACUGUGUUCCAAAUUGUGUUACCUGAGGCAUACCGUAAUCAGAUUUUGAAAUUGGCCCAUGAACACGUGUGUUCAGGACACUUAGGUGUCACAGACCUAUCAUCGAAUUGCCAGACAUUUUUUUUUUUUUUUUUGUUUCCCUUUUGUAUUUGUUCCACGAGCUGUAAAAUAAAAUCUUUUUCUCGACAACUUGUUGCUUGUGGUGCUGUGGCAGGACUCAGAUUAACGCUCUUUAAAAUAUUUUACUUUUGUUGCGUCCACAUUUACCCCUAGACUUAUGUGGGACGUAACAACAUCAACUUGCAGGACCUGCCCUUUGUCAUUUACGCCUGCUUUGUUCUCCACAAUUUUUGUGAAAACUGUAAGGAGACUGUGGCUGAACACACUGUGUUGGGAACGAUGCAAGGUGAUAAAGACAUACAGCCUCCUACACAAUGCAACAACUACCUCACAGACUGUAAUGAAGGAGAGGGAAAGAGAGUGAGGAGAGUAGUCACAAAGUACCUUGACCCUUAAAAAUGCUGGCCAUCAAGUUUUUUUUCUUUGUUCAGGUUUUUUUUAAAGUAUUUACCUUUUUGAAAAUGUACUAAUGAUUAUUUUGAAAGUGUUUUAUUGAAUAUGUCUAGUGAAAAUAAAUGACUGAAACAAUUAGAGAACUUGUUUUUA